GUAGGUGAACCUGCGGAAGGAUCAUUAGUGAAUUUUAGGGCGUCUACUUGUAGAGCCUGACCUCCACUCUCUAACACUGUGCAUUUAUUGGCGGAAUUUUAGUGAUAAGAAAUUUUCGGAUUUCGAAUCACUAAAAAUCUGCGGCUCAUUUUAUAACACCAGUCAAAGUAUGUAACAAAAUAUCGAAACAAAAAAAAACUUUCAACAACGGAUCUCUUGGCUCUCGCAUCGAUGAAGAACGCAGCAUCUG
rnacentral:misc_RNA from 1 species